AUUGAACGCUGGCGGCAUGCUUUACACAUGCAAGUCGAACGGUAACAGGCCGCAAGGUGCUGACGAGUGGCGAACGGGUGAGUAAUGCAUCGGAACGUGCCCAGUCGUGGGGGAUAACGCAGCGAAAGCUGCGCUAAUACCGCAUACGAUCUAUGGAUGAAAGCGGGGGACCGUAAGGCCUCGCGCGAUUGGAGCGGCCGAUGUCAGAUUAGGUAGUUGGUGGGGUAAAGGCUCACCAAGCCAACGAUCUGUAGCUGGUCUGAGAGGACGACCAGCCACACUGGGACUGAGACACGGCCCAGACUCCUACGGGAGGCAGCAGUGGGGAAUUUUGGACAAUGGGCGCAAGCCUGAUCCAGCAAUGCCGCGUGCAGGAAGAAGGCCUUCGGGUUGUAAACUGCUUUUGUACGGAACGAAAAGGUUUGGGUUAAUACCCUGGGCCGAUGACGGUACCGUAAGAAUAAGCACCGGCUAACUACGUGCCAGCAGCCGCAGUAAGAC
rnacentral:rRNA from 1 species